GUAACGUGGCUUAAUAAGUUAUUUCGUAACGAAAAGCAUUACUACCUUUGUCACUAUUUUUUCAUGCUUCCGGUCUCACCAUGAUGAAAUCAACCUUCACUCCCAUUUUCUGGGUACUUGCCCCCAAACCCAAACCCAAAUCUCCAAAACUAUCAUCUCAAGCAAUUACCAGCACCUUCACAAACAGCACACCACGUGUUCGACAAAACGCCUCUCUCAAACCCCACCCCAUCACCACCACCCCAUCACUCCCUUCUUCAGCUUACAUUCACCUCCCUUUCUGUCGAAAACGUUGCCACUACUGUGACUUCCCCAUCGUCGCUCUUGGCUCCGCUUCAGCCCAAAUAGACGACGACCCACGAGUCUUAAACUACAUGCAAUUGCUCCACAGAGAAAUCAAUGCAACCAAAUUGGAACUUGAUGCCAAGACACCCCUUGAAACGGUCUUUUUUGGUGGUGGAACACCCUCCCUCGUACCUCCGAGGAUGGUUUCCUCGGUUUUGGAGACUUUAAGGAUGAAAUUUGGGUUGAGUGAGAAUGCUGAAAUAUCAAUGGAAAUGGAUCCGGGCACGUUUGAUGCUAAGAAGAUGCAAGAGAUGAUGAUGUUGGGAGUUAACAGAGUGUCUUUGGGAGUUCAAGCAUUUCAAGAGAAGCUGUUGAGGGCUUGUGGGAGGGCACAUGGUCUAAAAGAGGUUCAUGAGGCUAUUGAUAUUGUCAAGCUAUGUGGGGUUGAGAAUUGGAGUAUUGAUCUUAUAGCUUCAUUGCCUCAUCAAACUAGUGAUAUGUGGGAAGAAAGUCUUAGGCUCACCAUUGAGGCACAACCAACUCAUGUUUCAGUUUAUGAUUUGCAAAUUGAGCAAGGCACAAAAUUUGGAACACUGUAUUCACCAGGGGAAUUCCCUAUGCCUUCUGAGAUACAAUCAGCUGAAUUCUAUAAGAUGGCUUCUAGAAUGCUUUGUGAUGUGAAUUAUAAUCAUUACGAAAUCAGCAGCUACUGUAAGAGUGGAUAUGAGUGCAAACACAACUUUACCUAUUGGAAAAACAAGCCUUUCUAUGGUUUUGGCCUUGGCUCUGCUAGUUUCAUUGGUGGGUUGAGGUUUUCAAGACCUAAGAAGAGCAAGCAUUUUACAGGUGAUUAUGUUGAGAAUAGUGGGGGUGAAUCAGGCAUCGUGAUCUACGUUUUCUCGAUCGAUGCUCGAGGACUUUUGGAAUGAUGAAUGGGAUAGGAUCAUCCGGAUCCCUGAUGUAUCGUAUUCAUCACUUAGGGCAUUUGUCAAUUUCUUGUACACCGGCGACGCUGAGUGUUACCGGGAUUUUCGAACUGCGUGCGGCCUCCUCUUUCUGGCUGAAAAGUAUGCAGUCACACCUCUUAGGGGUGUUUGGUUGAGGAAAUUUUUUUUGAAUACUAGAGAAAUGUAAUUGAUAGAAAAAUGGUUGGAAAGUGAGUUUGGUAGGAAAAUGUAAAAAAAGUUGUUUGGUUGAAAAAAAAUUUACCGGGCAAAUGAGAUAAGAUUUAUAAAGUCUAUGUUUGAUUUGAGGUAAAAUAUAGAUGGAAAAAUAAGUAGCAAUUACAAAAAUAUCCCUAGGUUUGGCGUCUGUAAUGAUUUUGUUUAUGAAAACAUGCUUUGGGUCUUGGCUUCUCUGCGGGUUUUCUUCACAAACUACGUGCUUUACUCCUUGUGGUUGAUGCUCAGAUACAUCUUCAGAAGACAACAAAAACGAUCACCUUGUUCCAGUAGCUGUAGCUGAUCAAGCCAAGAGGAAUCAUUUUGAAGAUUCUGAGAUUAAAGGGUUCACAGAAGAGUUGGCUAAUUUGAUAUUUCAGAGCUCUGAAGAUUUUCAUGUAGCCAGUGAAGAAAGAGAAGGAGAAACAGAGAGCUCUGUUUUAAAGGAAAAGGACCCUGAUAUUUAAAUAAUAGGAGCUUCAUUCACAGAACCAUCGCCUCUUGGCGGAUCCAAUACCAAUCCCGGUCGAUCCCGCUCCGGCGUUCCCCUCGUCCAGCGAUCAGGCUCCACAAAAUAACAAGGGUAGUAGGUUAAGCAAAGGGUAGUUUAGGCAGCAGCUAUUUCCAUGGUUUUCAU